rnacentral:rRNA from 1 species
AGAGUUUGAUCCUGGCUCGGGAUGAACGCUGGCGGCGUGCCUAAUACAUGCAAGUCGAGCGAACUGAUUAGAAGCUUGCUUCUAUGACGUUAGCGGCGGACGGGUGAGUAACACGUGGGCAACCUGCCUGUAAGACUGGGAUAACUUCGGGAAACCGAAGCUAAUACCGGAUAGGAUCUUCUCCUUCAUGGGAGAUGAUUGAAAGAUGGUUUCGGCUAUCACUUACAGAUGGGCCCGCGGUGCAUUAGCUAGUUGGUGAGGUAACGGCUCACCAAGGCAACGAUGCAUAGCCGACCUGAGAGGGUGAUCGGCCACACUGGGACUGAGACACGGCCCAGACUCCUACGGGAGGCAGCAGUAGGGAAUCUUCCGCAAUGGACGAAAGUCUGACGGAGCAACGCCGCGUGAGUGAUGAAGGCUUUCGGGUCGUAAAACUCUGUUGUUAGGGAAGAACAAGUACAAGAGUAACUGCUUGUACCUUGACGGUACCUAACCAGAAAGCCACGGCUAACUACGUGCCAGCAGCCGCGGUAAUACGUAGGUGGCAAGCGUUAUCCGGAAUUAUUGGGCGUAAAGCGCGCGCAGGCGGUUUCUUAAGUCUGAUGUGAAAGCCCACGGCUCAACCGUGGAGGGUCAUUGG